ensembl:lncRNA
GUGGUGGGGGUUAGUAGGUGUUGGAGGUUGUUCUGGUCUGGAGCGUCAGUGUGGUGGGGGUUAGUAGGUGUUGGAGGUUGUUCUGGUCUGGAGCGUCAGUGUGGUGGGGGUUAGUAGGUGUUGGAGGUUGUUCUGGUCUGGAGGGUCAGUGUGGUGGGGGUUAGUAGGUGUUGGACUGGGUUGUUCUGGUCUGGAGCAUCAGUGUGGUGGGGGUUAGUAGGUGUUGGAGGUUGUUCUGCUCUGGAGGGUCAGUGUGGUGGGGGUUAGUAGGUGUUGGAGGUUGUUCUGGUCUGGAGCGUCAGUGUGGUGGGGGUUAGUAGGUCUUGGAGGUUGUUCUGGUCUGGAGCGUCAGUGUGGUGGGGGUUAGUAGAUGUUGGACUUGGUUGUUCUGGUCUGGAGGGUCAGUGUGGUGGGGGUUAGUAGAUGUUGGACUUGGUUGUUCUGGUCUGGAGGGUCAGUGUGGUGGUGGUUAGUAGGUGUUGGAGGUUGUUCUGGUCUGGAGCGUCAGUGUGGUGGUGGUUAGUAGGUGUUGGAGGUUGUUCUGGUCUGGAGCAUCAGUGUGGUGGGGGUUAGUAGGUGUUGGAGGUUGUUCUGGUCUGGAGCAUCAGUGUGGUGGGGGUUAGUAGGUGUUGGAGGUUGUUCUGGUCUGGAGCGUCAGUGUGGUGGGGGUUAGUAGGUGUUGGAGGUUGUUCUGGUCUGGAGCGUCAGUGUGGUGGGGGUUAGUAGGUGUUGGAGGUUGUUCUGGUCUGGAGGGUCAGUGUGGUG